GUCUAUGGCCAUGCCACCCUGAACAAGCUCUACCCCGUCUGAGUCUGAUCUCGGAAGCUAAGCAGGGUUGAGCCUGAUUAGUACUUGAAUGGGAGACCACCUAGGAAGACGAGGUGCUGUAGAUG
rnacentral:rRNA from 1 species